AGGUUUUGCUUUUAGCUUCAGGAUUGAAGAACGUUUCGAUAGCAGCAUUGUUGCAGCCCGAUUCUCUAAUGCACAUGCUAUGAUUUCUCAACUUCCCAAACUGAGUAUCACCAGGUGAUGCCUUAAUGUUUUCUACAUUUUGACCUGCAUUUUUCACUCUGACAUUCACUGAGGAAAAAACAUGAGCUAGACAUUUAGAAGCCAGUUGGCCCUGUGUAGCAUUUUCGGUCCAUCUUUCUGAUUCAACAAGCGCCUCCACAGACAAACAAUUUGGUAGCUCGGAAUCUUUAAGCUCCUGGUGCAUCCAGGAUUUGGAGGUAGCUCGAGGGACAGUGUCAUGCUCAUGAUUAAUUUGACCAGAAGGAGAAACUUCUUUGUCCAUUUUAUCACCCUCUCCAUCCGCAGCAAGAAGCUCCCCCUGCUGCUCUGUCAGGCCAUUAAAUUUCUCUGAUCGAGGUAACAAAAACUGAUGUUUG
rnacentral:misc_RNA from 1 species